UCUAGGUACAUAUUAGUAGGAUGGAAAAUACUUCUGCACAACAUGGCCUUGAAAUACAGAAAUAGAUUAUGUCUUUUGUUAGACUAGAUUGUUGCCUAUGUUAUGUUGUUUGCAGGCUAUAAUUGUUCACGGAGCCAUGCAAUUGGAGCUGAGGAAAUUAUCUGCAUGGAAUGUAAACAAGUGUUGAGCCAGUGCAGAGGGAUGAUCCUCAAUUUGUUAAUUGCAGAGGCCCACAUAAAGUAAGGUCGAUAUGUGUUUAUUUGACGGUACUCACGCUGUCAGGAUUGAAUCUGUUGUCGGUAAAGAAAAUGUUGGCUCGGAUGUUAUGGGCACAACCGGUGAGAUGGUUGUUGUGUGGAUAGAGAAUCAGCUCCAUGAAAACAAAACAAAGGAGCCGAUAUUGCAAUAG